rnacentral:rRNA from 1 species
AUUGAACGCUGGCGGCAGGCCUAACACAUGCAAGUCGGACGGUAGCACAGAGAGCUUGCUCUCGGGUGACGAGUGGCGGACGGGUGAGUAAUGUCUGGGAAACUGCCCGAUGGAGGGGGAUAACUACUGGAAACGGUAGCUAAUACCGCAUAACGUCUUCGGACCAAAGUGGGGGACCUUCGGGCCUCACACCAUCGGAUGCGCCCAGAUGGGAUUAGCUAGUAGGUGGGGUAAUGGCUCACCUAGGCGACGAUCCCUAGCUGGUCUGAGAGGAUGACCAGACACACUGGAAUUGAGACACGGUCCAGACUCCUACGAGAGGCAGCAGUGGGGAAUAUUGCACAAUGGGCGCAAGCCUGAUGCAGCCAUGCCGCGUGUAUGAAGAAGGCCUUCGGGUUGUAAAGUACUUUCAGCGGGGAGGAAGGCGAUGAGGUUAAUAACCGCAUCGAUUGACGUUACCCGCAGAAGAAGCACCGGCUAACUCCGUGCCAGCCGCCGCGGUAA